rnacentral:miRNA from 1 species
AGGCAGCGUGGUGUAGUGGAUAGAGUGCUGGACU